GGCCUGCCAUUCUCUAUUCAUGGAGUUUGUAAGUCAGCAUGAAGGCCCAUUGACUGAGGAUAUGUGAUUUUGUUCCUCUGGACGCUGAGGUCAGUGCAGUACCAAUGCACAAUGCAACAACACACCAGUCUCCACGGAUUCUUGAAACACAGGAGGUCCAGAAGAUGGGAGAUCCCAUGUGCUACGGACGAGCAGUUGCUGUGUGGACAUGCAGGGGAAAUCUCCGUCAGUCCAUGUGGUGUACAUCUGAGAGAAAACCUGAAAGGCCACAAAUCUGAAUGUCUAACAUGACCAAAGCUCACCACAGGUAGAUUUUAGGGACGUAAUAUGGGGCAUUUCAUCCUGAUACGGCUUUACGCGUUUGUGGGGAGGCCCAGACCCUGAGCCUGCCUGAUGCAGGACUCCCAGGACACCGGGCCACCGCCGAGGGAAACCUGUGCGCACCUCAACAAACAGAGGGGGUCCAUGUUCAUGGAUUGGAUGAUGCAACAUCAUUACGGUGGUAAUUCUCUCCAAAGUGUCUAUAGAU